rnacentral:rRNA from 1 species
UGGAAACAGAUGCUAAUACCGGAUAACAACAGAUGAUGCCUAUCAACUGUUUAAAAGAUGGUUCUGCUAUCACUCUUGGAUGGACCUGCGGUGCAUUAGCUAGUUGGUAGGGUAACGGCCUACCAAGGCGAUGAUGCAUAGCCGAGUUGAGAGACUGAUCGGCCACAUUGGGACUGAGACACGGCCCAAACUCCUACGGGAGGCAGCAGGC